UUUAUGAAGUUUGACAGAAGUUAGGCACAGAUUUUUGAUAUGAUUGUACAAGUUGGAACAAAUAUGGGGAUUUAAUUUUAAAUUUUGUACAGCUGACAGCUGACCAUAGAUAACCUAACCUGUUUGUUUAUAUUUACAUAACCGUUACAGUCGGAGCCGGAAACUUUCUGAUUUUUAUUCGACUUAUUACACUAAUUAAAUGAGACCAUUGAUAUUGAUACUUUGAAAGCAAUCUGAUGAUUACAUGCAUUAAGAGUUCUUCUUUUGGGUACAUCAAACUUUCCAUUUUCCAAAAAUAAAAGUAAUAUUAGAUGAUCGAAAUACUCAAAAAUCUGGAGCAUUCUCAAAUAA